CCUACUGGUGGCUGCAGUGGGGAAUAUUGGGCAAUGGGCGCAAGCCUUACCCAGCAAUACCGCGGGAGUGAAGAAGGUCUUCGGAUUGUAAAGCUCGUUGAUCAGGGAAGAACAGAUGACGGUACCUGAAGAACAAGCCCCGGCUAACGACGUGCCAGCAGUCGCGGUAAAACGUAGGGGGCGAGCGUUGUCCGGAAUGACUGGGCGUAAAGGGGGAGGAGGCGGCAUGAUAAGUUAGAAGUGAAAUACCCAGGGCUUAACUCCGGUGCUGCUUCUAAGACUGUUGAGCUGGAGUGCGGAAGAGGUUAAUGGAAUUCCUAGUGUAGCGGUGGAAUGCGUAGAUAUUAGGAGGAACACGAGAGGCGAAGGCGAUUAACUGGACCGUAACUGACGCUGAGGCACGAAAGUGUGGGUAGCAAACAGGAUUAGAUACCCCAGUAGUC
rnacentral:rRNA from 1 species